rnacentral:sRNA from 1 species
GUGGUUUGGUCCUCCCAGGGCGCCGUAGGCGGUGCAUCCCGUUCGCGCCUGGGGCUGUGGUCCUCCGGUGCCUGAGGCGGUGGCGGCAGGAGCUGAGGGGAGUUGUAGGGAGCUGAGGGGAGCUGCUGUGUCCCCCGCCUCCUCCUCCUCCCCAUUUCCGCGCUCCCGGGACCAUGUCCGCGCUGGCGGGUGAAGAUGUCUGGAGGUGUCCAGGUUGUGGGGACCACAUUGCUCCAAGCCAGAUAUGGUACAGGACUGUCAACGAAACCUGGCACGGCUCUUGCUUCCGGUGUUCGGAAUGCCAGGAUUCCCUCACCAACUGGUACUAUGAGAAGGAUGGGAAGCUCUACUGCCCCAAGGACUACUGGGGGAAGUUUGGAGAGUUCUGUCAUGGGUGCUCCCUGCUGAUGACAGGGCCUUUUAUGGUGAGUGAAUCCCUUCAUAUCUGCCCCUCUUGGUCUUCAGAGUCCAUUGACAGUGCUUCCAGUUCCCUGUUAAUCUUUUAGUCUUUCCAUCAGCCAGGGCAUCUCCCUUUAUUUAUUCAUUCAUUCAACUAGCAGGUAUCAAUUGAGCACCUACUAAGUGAAAGGUAAGAUCCUUCCCUCAAAGACUUAAUAGUUUAACAUUGGGAGUGGGAGGAGAGGCAGGCAGAGAGGAGACACAAUAUAGUUGGAUAAGGACCUCCAAGGAGAGUGUUACAGGCUGAGAGGAGGAUAUACCUAGGUUGUCUUCAGGGAAUCAGAAAAGGAGACUCUGGAAUAGGCUAGCAGAGAGAGGUGCUACCUCCUAUACCUGCUCUGGACAAAGGACUUUAAGCAUAGUGACAGACUUGCCAACCCUGUAUUGGAAGAACUGUGAUCUUUUUUAGUGGGGAUGAUUACUUCUGGGGACUUGUUCUCAUAACUGAGACCAAAACAGUUUUGUGCAGUCUCAGAAAUGACAGGAGGUACCAAUCUGACACUUCCUUUGGAAGCUCUAGGGCAGAGAGUGAAAGAGUGGAUUUUGACUGGGGCCUUAAUUGGAAGUCAUUCACCCACCCC